AGCGAACGCUGGCGGCAGGCCUAACACAUGCAAGUCGAACGAAGUCUUCGGACUUAGUGGCGGACGGGUGAGUAACACGUGGGAACGUACCUUUUGGUUCGGAACAACUCAGGGAAACUUGAGCUAAUACCGGAUGAGCCCUUAGGGGGAAAGAUUUAUCGCCGAAAGAGCGGCCCGCGUUAGAUUAGCUAGUUGGUGAGGUAAAGGCUCACCAAGGCUACGAUCUAUAGCUGGUCUGAGAGGAUGAUCAGCCACACUGGGACUGAGACACGGCCCAGACUCCUACGGGAGGCAGCAGUGGGGAAUCUUGCGCAAUGGGCGAAAGCCUGACGCAGCCAUGCCGCGUGAAUGAUGAAGGUCUUAGGAUUGUAAAAUUCUUUUACCAGGGACGAUAAUGACGGUACCUGGAGAAAAAGCACCGGCUAACUCUGUGCCAGCAGCCGCAGUAAAAC
rnacentral:rRNA from 1 species